UUUGUAGAUAACCAAUCUUAAAUUCUAGAGAGCACCAUGAAAGUCUUGGAAGACCUAGCAUGGGCACAGAAUAAGCAAUGUACAACAGCGUUAUUGACAAUGAGUUCAGAAGCUCGGACUUGUCCAGAGGGACAGAAGGAAAGAUGGGAUUCAUCCUGAUGCUCUCUUAGAGGAAGGUCUGGGACCAGACCAAAUCGUCACCAUCUUCCGGAUCUGGCUUCACAGGCAAUUUGUGGUGCUUAGACUAAGGUGAGCAGGGGAGGGGUGGUCUUUCCAGGACCUCGCUGAACUUUGGAAGAAGAGCAGAAUGGAGGAAGGAGGUCUUAACGGGAGUUAGCUCAAUAGUCGUCCCUUAAAUCCUGUCGCAGAAUCAUUAGUAUUUGCUGAUCCUGCUCCAAAGAAAUAGUCAGAUAGACUCGAGGCAUCCAGUUAAUCCUACCGCCUCCCACCAUUGAAACACCACACUGUCAAAGGUUAAUUGAAUUAUAGAAAGAUGUUAUAAAGAUCUCUCAUAUUUGGGAACUGCUUUAAAAAUGUUUAAAUUCUUUCCUCUAUUUUGUUUCACAUGAGCUUCCUAACAAUCUUUGGAAGUACUCAGGGCAAGGAUUUUUUAUCUCCAUUGGAUGGGGGGAGAAAUGGGGACCAGGAGGGUGAACUGAUCUGCUCCACAGCACACGGCUCGGUGAUAGGAAAACUAGUUCCAGAAGUGACGUUUUCUGAUGCCACCUUUGGCGCACUUUCCGCUCCAGCACUGUGCCUACUUUCAAAGCAGUCUCGGUUCAGCUCAACCCCCGACCUUUUUCAGCCUUCCUGUGCCGGUGGCUGUCCAGGAAAGCCUUGCCGAUAACCUAGGCAUUGCUUUUUCCUGGGAUGUCAGAUGUAAACCAUUUUUAUCUUUUUUGCUUCUGAUUUCACAAACACAGCCUUCCAUUUCCAAAUCACACGUAAAAUCCACUGCCCCGUGAAGCUGAUAUGUUUGUAAGGAGCAAUGUGAAGUAAAUCAACUGAAAUCAAAAUUUCCAUCUGUGUAUUUUUGUUGGCUCAGAACAAAGCUGUGGAAAUUCCAAGACUCCCAUAGAAAAAAACGGGAAAAUCUUGCCCGUGAUUUGCCACAGUGCCGCUAAAAUAGGACUUGAAGAAAAUAUCCUGUUGGUGAAGUUUUGGUGCCAGGAGAAACAGGGUAAAUACUAAAGGGAUUAAAAUGUUGGAAAAGGAAGUUAUAACAAAAAUUGCAAAGGCCUUAUGGAGAUUAAAAAUAUUUUCUAAACAUUUUCCGGGCAGCCUUUUAAGACUCCCCAAGGGAAGCACAUAAAUAAGGGAGAAAUGCUGAAGGUCCAAACGAAAGCAGACAGCUUUGACCUAAAACAUUUCCCACUUGAAGGAUUCAGGCACCUAAGAAUCAGUGGAUUCCGUUAUUUCCUCCAAACCGAGAUGCAGGCCACCUGCCGAUGAGAAUAACCUUCCUAAGCCAGACGACACAGGGCAGCCUGACGUGGUCUAUGCCUCUCUGGAUUCUGCAGGAGUAGAGGUGGAGCCAGCAAUUUUACCUUCUUCUCAGGGGUGCUGUUCAGAUUGGCAAACUGGACAAAACUUAGUAAUUGGGCUGAGUAACGCAUCUUCAAAGCAGUGAAUCCAGAAAGCCCACUGCGAAGGUCUCUUGGCCCAGUGUUUCCAGACCGUAAAUGAGAUGUUUGUGUUGGAAGAGAUCUGAAGAGCAUCCAGUCUUGCGGUUCUCAACCCCAGAGAGGUGGUCAGAUGCUCUGUAUGAGACCUUCGCUCAAGUGACUGGCGGCAUAGCUAUUGACUACAAGGGCUGAUUGUCCAAAAAGCCAUGGAGGAAAUUUUCCUAAAAGUCAUAGGGUUAGAUGGUGGAUGGAAGGAUCAAAACCCACUACAGUACGGAAUCACAGUCUCUUAGGAAAGGCUCACAGGAUUUAAAAAGUCCACUCCCUAGACAGACACACCUGCAUCCCAGGAGCAUCUAAGAGAAGUCUCUCCCCGCCCCCCUUCUUCCAAGCUGAGAUCCCAUCCUUGCUCUUGAAGAAGUAAGCUUCCACAGUGAGCUCAAAGACAGGGUCUCCCUUGUAAGAGGAUGCUUUGAUUUAGAUUUGAAGUUCAAAGCCCCCAUAAAAGAUAGAAAUGUCCACGUAAGAAUGUCUGGAAUGGCUGUAUCAGGCUUUCUUGAGGACUGAGAACCUCUUGUUGAUAAGAGAGGUAUUGCAAUGUGGUCCCUGGGACUGCCGUGUGACAGGAUCGGAAGAAUGUGACAGCUUCGUGUGGAAUGACAUUAAAAAUCAGCAAAUGUAUACAAAAUGACUAAGUGAAUUACAAAAUAUAAUUGUUCUAAUGCUCAGAUUGUCAUUAAGUUUUUAUAAAAUAUUUUUGAGGCAGCUCAAAAUAAGAUGGCUUUACUCUAUUUUCUUUUCCCAGCAGAUUUAAAUCGAGCUUUCCUCUUUGCAAGCCCCUGGUGCCAAGCCUUCCAUAUGUCUCACAUAUCAGGGGUACCAAUGAAAAGCUUUAUUGCCCUUUCCUAGACCUAUCCUCAGGAGCUAGUCGUCUUUCUGGAAAUUUACCGUAAGACCUGUGCCAGCAAGUUUCAUGCAUUGGAUGGUCCCUGAUUUUAGUCAGGAGGUCCUAUUUCCAGUACACCAGGAAACAGUUCAAUGAUAUCACCUAGAGUUAUCUUCGGCCAACAGGGAACUUGUAUAUCCCCCUUCACUAUCUUUGCUAAUUACCCUGCCUUCACAAUGGAGGGAGUGAUUAGAAAAGCCCACAGGAACUGUACUACAACAAAUCUAACCCACUUUCCAGUUGCAGAAUAGGACAAGCUUGUGGGGCAACGUGACUCAGUGACCAUAGACCUCUCAGUGUCUGAUCUCUCCAUUUUUUUUCACCUCUUAAACGGUGAUGAUAAUGACAGCUUUACGUAUAAGAAAAAGUGGCCAACCCCUCUCCCCCAGACCAGAGGAUUUUAAAUAUGUUCUAGUCUUAUCAGCAGUUCUACUCCUGGAUCAGAAUUAUAAUCAUGAGUCCAAUGAAAGAGGUUCUUAAGGGUCAUAUCCAUGGAAAUCGACUUUAGCAUAUUUUGGAGUAAGGUAACUUGAGGUACUGGGUCCACAACACUGGGAGAGUGUGAAGAGAAGGUUAGUUAUUUUCACAUAAAUGUACCGUAGGGGGAAUGUACACUUUAUGUAGUAAAGGGACUAAAUGUACACACAGAACAUGGAUGAAUCUUAACUACAUGGUCCUAAGGAAAAGAAAAUUUUAAAGUAAAUAGAAAUAUAAAACAUGAUAUUAUUUUUGUAAAUUAAAUGUGGACAAAGAUAUAUGCAUUUUGCAAGACACACAUGAACAAAAAGACACACGUUGACCACAUUAGAAUGGCUACUGGUUGGGAGCUGAAAUGGGAAUGAGCGACACAAAUAAAACGGAAAAAAUUUAAACAUAAAAGUGGAGUCUUGCUUUGGCCAGUGUUGAUAAUGUGCCACUAACUGAGGGAACCAUGAGCUUAACCUUCUGCCUCUGAUGUCCAGAAGGGACAGAAAAAUAUCAUAUGAAUGGUAGUUGUUAAGAAGGUAAUUGUUAUCACCCACUCCAAACUCUUCAUCUCCUUCUUUUGACUCUUCAUUGAAGAAAGAAUUUGCUUUCCUCUGAUCCAUGUUCAUUCACUAUAUAAUGAGUCUUCCAUUAGCGAAACAUAUGAAUAACUCAUUUAUAUUGUUUUUUGGAUCUCGUUGUCUUAAUCACUAAUAUUCUUUUUUAUUACUGGAUGGAAAGAAAGGCUUAAAAUAAAAGGCUCGCUCCUUUAUGGUGGAAUUUAAUGCCAAGGCAAAUGGGCAGACUCUUGGAAGGUAGGGUGGGACCUCCACUGGCACCAGGUCACAGAGGUCAGAGAUCAUCAGAGAUCUGUGACUGAAGAUUGAACAUUGAUUAAGAUCUCAUGUAAUUCAAGGAAAAUACCACACAUCGCUAAUUAUUCUCUUCUCUCUUUGAAAGGUGGCUUCAAUUAGAAAAUUUCCGGUCAAAGUGGUCCCUCCACCAUUCUUCCCCAACACACACACACACACCACACACACACACCCCCAAUUAUUCAGUGAAUGUGUCUACUUUGACCUAUUAACACCUUCGUGAUUUUGUGAGCAGAAUGAUACAGGAGAAAUGAAAGAGUUGAAUAACUCGACCUUGGAGAUAACACAUGAAAGACUGAUUUAGGUAAAAUACAGUUUACUGGAUGCACUGUCCAGUUUCUUGCCCAAUAAAAUCUCUCCCACCAGGCACCCUCGCACUGCCAAGUCAUGUGGUCUACCCCCACGAAGGCAGGGAAGGAGUUAGAAUGAGAGGCUUUUAUGUAUUAACAAAAGGGCAGGUGUUUGUAGGUGUACUGCGGAGGUGGCUCCUGACGUUUCUUAUUCCGUGGAUUAUGUUUAACUUGUCACCUUGUCAUCUUUCUUUUGUGUUUCUUAUAUUCCCCCUUUAACAUCUUCACCUUGUUUUACUGACUCUUUUGUUCUAUGCGAUGUUAGGGUCAUCAAGGUUUCAUAGCCAUUGUCAAGACUCUGUCAUUUUUUUUUUUUUUCAGGAAAAUUCAGUCACUGUACUUGUCCCCUUCUACCUGGUAACUUCUUUGUGAAGUUUAAAGUGUUGCAGACACACUUCUUGCUCUUUGCUCAAUUUCGAUUACUCAGUCUCCCAGAUGUUCUAAGGCAAUGAAGGAGCAUAAUAUC